AGGGCAAUACAGCAUCAAGAUGCAGUUGGACCAGACAGACCACAAAAGAGUUUCUGAGGCCUUUUUCAAUAAUUCUGAUUAAACCACCUCAUAUGUACACUGUGUUUCUGGCCUUGCCUUGCCUUGUGUUACAGGUUGUCCAUGAAACUUCACGAAUCUGAGAUAUAUGAAGGGCGGAGAAUGAGAUGAUUGGCUAUCUUUCCGUUUCGUCAUGCAAGAGGCAGGGCUGUCACAGAAAGCUGUCCUUUUAGGGACAUAACUGAGGCGGGCAGGAUGGAAUGAGUGGGCGUGAUAGGGCGAUUGUGUCAGAGAAAGCAAGAUUGACAGGAGUGACAGCUCCAUUUAUUGGCUGCUAGAGUCUAGUCAGCAAAAGGGCAUUCAGGGCCACCGGCUGGCUCUGCUGGCGGCCUGUUCAGUCGGCGCCUGUAAUGCACGAAGCCCUGGAGUCAUAGUAAACAGCAUCUCUAGUACUUUAGGA